GUGGGGAAUAUUGCACAAUGGGCGAAAGCCUGAUGCAGCAACGCCGCGUGAGCGAAGAAGGCCUUUGGGUCGUAAAGCUCUGUCCUAGGGGAAGAUAAUGACGGUACCCUGGGAGGAAGCCCCGGCUAACUACGUGCCAGCAGCCGCGGUAAUACGUAGGGGGCAAGCGUUAUCCGGAAUUAUUGGGCGUAAAGAGUGCGUAGGUGGUCCUUUAAGCGUGGGGUGACAGGCAAUGGCUUAACCAUUGUAAGCCUUGCGAACUGGGGACUUGAGUGCAGGAGAGGAAAGCGGAAUUCCUAGUGUAGCGGUGAAAUGCGUAGAUAUUAGGAGGAACACCAGUGGCGAAGGCGGCUUUCUGGACUGAAACUGACACUGAGGCACGAAAGCGUGGGGAGCAAACAGGAUUAGAAACCCGAGUAGUCC
rnacentral:rRNA from 1 species